rnacentral:rRNA from 1 species
CGCGUGCGGGAUGAAGGCCUUCAGGGUUGUAAACCGCUUUCAGCAGGGACGAGGCCGCAAGGUGACGGUACCUGCAGAAGAAGCCCCGGCUAACUACGUGCCAGCAGCCGCGGUAAU